CGGCAGACCACCACCCCCCUCUGCCCCAUCCCCCAGCCCGACCUCCCAGAUGGUGCCCAGACCCCCCUGCCGGAGCCGGGAGAGGUCCACCCCCUGGACGUGAGUGCCCAGAGGAGCCGGGUGCUGCUACGGAGGAAGGGGUCGGUGCGCCGGGCGCCCAGCCUCCGGGCCCAGAGACCCCCUGGGGGGGCCCCACCCGAGACCCUGCCCCAGCCCCCCCCAGGAGCCAGGCACCCCAGGGGGCUUCCUGCCCCCCAUGCCCCACCAGCCACAGACACUGAGGAGGCAGCUCCCAGGGCAUGCUGGCUUCGGCCUCGCCCACCCCAACAUGAUGGCAGAGCUGAAGUUUCGUCUGCGCAGACCCCCG